UACGGAGGGUGCAAGCGUUGUCCGGAAUCACUGGGUGUAAAGGGUGUGCAGGCGGGACUGUAAGUCAGAAGUGAGAGCCCACGGCUUAACCGUGGAAGUGCUUUUGAUACUGCAGUUCUUGAGUCCCGGAGAGGUCGUCGGAAUUCGUGGUGUAGCGGUGAAAUGCGUAGAUAUCACGAGGAACACCAGAAGCGUAAGCGGAUGGCUAGACGGGAACUGACGCUGAGGCACGAAAGCGUGGGGAGCAAACAGG
rnacentral:misc_RNA from 1 species